GACGAACGCUGGCGGCGUGCUUAACACAUGCAAGUCGAGGGCACUAUUGGGGCAACCUGGUAGUGACCGGCGAACGGGUGCGUAACACGUGAGCGACCUUGCCUCGUGGUGGGGGAUAGCCGGCCCAACGGCCGGGUAAUACCGCAUAUGGUAGUUUCUUCGCAUGAGGAGACUAGCAAAGCCUUGGAGCAAUCCAAUGGCGCCAC
rnacentral:rRNA from 1 species